AUGGGGAAAUAUAUAAUACACUGAUAAGAGAUAACAUGAAGAGCGUAUCAAAUAUUCAAGCUACAUCACGCAGUCAUGUAUGCUGACACGGAUGUAUCACGAGAAAUGCCCAGAUCAAUGUCUUCAGUGAGGCUCGAGUGACAACUUCGCUACAUUACGAACUCCUUCCACAAUCGAAGAAUGUUUUUACGAUUCUGAAGUUGUGAAUAUCAACACGGUGUUGAGGAGCGCUUGAAUAUUCUUAUAAGAUAUCGAGCAUCCCAGUCAACGUUUCCUUUUUGGGCGUAAUACUUGACCUCAUCGAUGUUGAUGGGUAUGGGUAUCCGUCCUAUUGAUAAAACGGGGGUUUCUGUUGCCCCGAUGCAAUCAUGUAGCGCUCGAACUAAAUUGGUAAGGGCAAGAGCUGAUCCCUCCGCAAAUAUAACUGGCUCCCAUGAUGCAAGACUAAAACUACGAGAAACACGGCCAUAAGAUGCUACCGACAAAACAGAUAACCCAGUGAAAACAGCAAAAUUAUUUAAAGUGUAUACAAUACUGCAUUGGGGUUUUGUAAUCGGUGAGACGGUUAUUGUGUAGAUAUUGUACAGCAACUUUGAUCCAUCAUCUUUACAACCAUGAUGCUUUUUAUAGCCGUCGAUUUCAUCAUCUGGGCAUCCUCGAUGCAGGACGAUGAUGUCCGCGUUUGUUUUCUGAAAAGAACAAGCAAACAAGCAGUAAAUAAAAGUCCAUACACAAUUGAUCACAACAGCAUUAAAAGUACAUCGCAUACGGAUAUGUUAUAAGUAUUACCAGUGUGACAUUUUGACUAUUUAACAAGCAAAAGUUGAUAUUUUUAUUCAAAUGGUUAUUCUGCUCCCAAAAUAAUUAAAAUGUUCUUUUCAAACGAAAAAAAAAGUAACACCCAUAUUGUUCAAGCGGAUUACCUCUGCAACUCUCCGAAUAUAUUUGAUUCCUUUUUUCCGCCUUAAAGCACCAAUACGUUCUACAUUUAGGUUGACAAUUUUCAGGUUGCUGAACGAAGAGUUAGACAUGUUUACCUGAAAAACAAUCAUGAAGGUAUAUAGUGCGUUUUGGAGAAUUAAUGAAAUAAUACAUUUUUUAAGUUUUGAAAAAAAUCAUUAAAAUGCUUUAGUGAGAAUUAAGUUGUGAGUUACAAUCAAACGAUGAUGAAGUCUGGACAUGUAAUUGAACUGCUUUGUAAAAGAAGCCAUCCGUUGUAGUUUCAAUGCACAAGAUAGACUUCCAUAUUAUUUAAUACAAAUAUAAUUUGUCGCAAACGCUUGCUGCUCGUAUUAUGCUUUUACGUACUUGUGCAUUUAUUAAAAUACCGGUUAUUAUA